UACGUAGGGUGCGAGCGUUGUCCGGAAUUAUUGGGCGUAAAGGGCUCGUAGGCGGUUUGUCGCGUCGGGAGUGAAAACCCAGGGCUUAACUCUGGGCUUGCUUUCGAUACGGGCAGACUAGAGGUAUGCAGGGGAGAACGGAAUUCCUGGCGUAGCGGUGAAAUGCGCAGAUAUCAGGAGGAACACCGGUGGCGAAGGCGGUUCUCUGGGCAUUACCUGACGCUGAGGAGCGAAAGCGUGGGGAGCGAACAGG
rnacentral:rRNA from 1 species